UACGUAGGGUGCGAGCGUUAAUCGGAAUUACUGGGCGUAAAGCGUGCGCAGGCGGUUCGUUAAGUCAGCUGUGAAAGCCCCGGGCUUAACCUGGGAAUGGCGGUUGAAACUGGCGAACUUGAAUCUGGCAGAGGGGGGUGGAAUUCCACGUGUAGCAGUGAAAUGCGUAGAGAUGUGGAGGAACACCAAUGGCGAAGGCAGCCCCCUGGGCUGAGAUUGACGCUCAGGCACGAAAGCGUGGGGAGCAAACAGG
rnacentral:rRNA from 1 species